GAGUAACGAAAAGAUCAGUGAGAAUCUGAUCCGCCGAAAGCCUAAGGGUUCCUGAGGAAGGUUCGUCCGCUCAGGGUAAGUCGGGACCUAAGGCGAGGCCGAAAGGCGUAGUCGAAGGACAACAGGCUCUAAUUCCUGUACCACCAUAAUCCGUUAUGAGCGAUGGGGUGACGCAGGAGGGUAGUGACGCGGGGCGAUGGAAUGCCCCGUCCAAGCAGUGAGGCUGGUGUGCAGGCAAAUCCGCACACCGUAAGGCUGGGCUGUGAUGGGGAGGGAAAAUU
rnacentral:rRNA from 1 species